rnacentral:rRNA from 1 species
AAGACUAUACUGUCUCCUUUUUAUAAUCAGUGAAACUGAUCUUCCCGUGAAGAAGCGGGAAUUAUUAUAUCAGACGAGAAGACCCCAUGGAGCUUUAAGUCAAACACCAACUGCUAUACUAAAUCACUAUAACUUUGGCAGAUCUGACUGUUAACUUUCGGUUGGGGUGACCACGGAGUAAAAUAAAACCUCCACAAUGAAUGAACCAAAUCCUAAUUCAAGAAUUACACUUCUAAAAAUCAAGACGUUGUCUUUUAUUGACCCAAGCCUUUGAUCAAUGAACCAAGUUACCCUGGGGAUAACAGCGCAAUCCAUUUCAAGAGCCCCUAUCGACAAAUGGGUUUACGACCUCGAUGUUGGAUCAGGGUAUCCUGGUGGUGCAACCGCUACUAAAGGUUCGUUUGUUCAACGAUUAAAACCCU